AGCAGCCGCGGUAAUUCCAGCUCCAAUAGCGUAUAUUAAAGUUGUUGCAGUUAAAAAGCUCGUGGUUGAACUUCAGGCCUGGCUGGACGGUCCGCCCUCUGGGUGAGCACUGCCUGUGGUCGGGUCCUACCUUCUGGCGAAGCGGCAUGGCCUUAACCGGCCGUGGCGGGGAACCAGGACUUUUACUGUGAAAAAAUUAGAGUGUUCAAAGCAGGCACGCGCUUGAAUACAUUAGCAUGGAAUAAUGGAAUAGGACAAUGGUUCUAUUUGUUGGUUUCUAGGACCGUUGUAAUGAUUAAUAGGGAUAGUUGGGGGCAUUAGUAUUCGAUUGUCAGAGGUGAAAUUCUUGGAUUUAUUGAAGACUAACUACUGCGAAAGCAUUUGCCAAGAAUGUUUUCAUUAAUCAAGAACGAAAGUUAGGGGAUCGAAGACGAUCAGAUACCGUCGUAGUCUUAACCAUAAACUAUGCCGACUAGGAAUCGGGCGAUGUUGACAAAAUGACGCGCUCGGCACCUCCAUC
rnacentral:rRNA from 1 species